rnacentral:lncRNA from 1 species
UUUAAAUUUUUAAAUUUGAGAUUUAAAAAUAAAUUUUAAUUUUGAAUACUGUAAUUUUAAAAGUUAUCUAUUUAAAUUAAAAAUUUUAAAUAUAAAAUAAAAAAUUUAAAUUCAAAUAUAAAAAUUAGGGCAAAAUCAUUAUUUUCUAUUUAUAACAACACACUAUCCUUCUUAUUCCAUCUACUCCAACCAAACACUAUUUUACUUAUACCUGAACUAAAUGCAAUUCUCAACCAAACACAAAAUUACUCUAACCCCACCUUAACCCUGAGCUUAAUUCUAUCACUGAAAUAACUAGUUCUUACUUAAUUCCGAACCAAACGAAGCCUUAGUGACAACAACUAAAAUAAUACUUAAAUAGUUAGUGACAACAACUAAAAUAAUACUUAAAUAGUACUAACACCAAUAC